CCAAUAGCGUAUAUUAAAGUUGUUGCAGUUAAAAAGCUCGUAGUUGAAUUUCGGGAUUGGCGCAUCGGUCGUGCCUUACGGGGUAUGAACUGGUGCAGUCAAUUUCUCACCUUCUGGAGAACCGCGAUGUCCUUAAUUGGGUGCCGCGGGGAACCAGGACCUUUACUUUGAAAAAAUUAGAGUGUUUAAAGCAGGCAUUUUUGCUUGAAUACAUUAGCAUGGAAUAAUAAAAUAGGACGGCAUGGUUCUAUUUUGUUGGUUUCUAGGACCACCGUAAUGAUUAAUAGGGAUAGUUGGGGGCAUUAGUAUUCAAUUGUCAGAGGUUAAAUUCUUGGAUUUAUUGAAGACUAACUACUGCGAAAGCCUUUGCCAAGGAUGUUUUCAUUAAUCAAGAACGAAAGUUAGGGGAUCGAAGACGAUCAGAUACCGUCGUAGUCUUAACCAUAAACUAUGCCGACUAGGAAUCAGACGAUGUUAAUUUUUUAAUGACUCGUUUGGCACCUUACG
rnacentral:misc_RNA from 1 species